UAAAACCAUAGAGUGAAGAGUUGAUACCGAGUCUUGUCAUGGGCUGAUCUGUUACAGCUGCCCUUAGGGUUUGCAUCCCCAAAAAUUCAUUUUUAAGCUGAAUCUCCCUUGUGCCUCCAGUUUUUAAGGCCUUGCAGUCAAAAACAUGCUAUGGCAAGGCAUAGGUUUCUGCAUUUCAUGUUAUGGUUUUGCUCAGUUGAACCAAAUGCAAACUUGAAAUGGGGAACCUCCGAAAGUUAAUCUUUUACAUUUUGCCUAUUUUGAGGUAAAUCUUUUCAGUUUUUGCUGUUGUAAAAUACAGGCUUAAACUGAAGACAGCUCUUCAGUGUUCCCAGCUUGCGACAUGUUGGGCUUUUUGUGGAUCCUGUACAUGUCCAGGCAAAACUCCCACACAUUUUGAUGCAGCCUGGAUCAGACCCCUGCUGCAAACAGAAGAGCUGCCUCUGGCAAUAUUCAGAAGAACAUGACGCCCAAGAAGACUCACCAAUCUUUGUAUAAACCAUGGACCAACCGAGGAGAUUCCAGAGGAUCACCAGAUCUUUGCAAAUCCUUCAGCUGAACAAGCCCACCCUUCUGAACUCUUUCAUCCAGGCUUGAUACAUCAAGCAAAUUUCAGUGGAGUUAUUCUUGCCUCACACCAAUGGGCAGAGCUUUUGCUUCUUCAAGGGCUUGGUCUUCACAGUGAGCUUUGAUGUGACUCCUCCAAGUGGUGUUCCUUUCUGUGAGAAGUGACCCCAGCAGUCUAGAAAGCCUCAAGAUCCUUCCUAAAAGGACGAACCCUGCAAUCCAUUGCCUGUAGGUACUAAAUCAACUUCUGACAAGUAAAGAACAAUACAAUCCCA
rnacentral:lncRNA from 14 species